AGAGUUUGAUCCUGGCUCAGGAUGAACGCUGGCGGUAUGCUUAACACAUGCAAGUCGAACGGAUGUUUUCGGACAUUAGUGGCGGACGGGUGAGUAACGCGUGAGAAUCUAGCUUCAGGUUGGGGACAACAGUUGGAAACGACUGCUAAUACCGAAUAUGCCGAGAGGUGAAAGAUUUAUUGCCUGAAGAAGAGCUCGCGUCUGAUUAGCUAGUUGGUGGGGUAAGAGCUUACCAAGGCGACGAUCGGUAGCUGGUCUGAGAGGACGAUCAGCCACACUGGGACUGAGACACGGCCCAGACUCCUACGGGAGGCAGCAGUGGGGAAUUUUCCGCAAUGGGCGAAAGCCUGACGGAGCAAUACCGCGUGAGGGAAGAAGGCUCUUGGGUUGUAAACCUCUUUUCUUAGGGAAGAAAAAAAUGACGGUACCUAAGGAAUAAGCAUCGGCUAACUCCGUGCCAGCAGCCGCGGUAAUACGGAGGAUGCAAGCGUUAUCCGGAAUGAUUGGGCGUAAAGCGUCCGCAGGUGGUUUAUCAAGUUUGCGGUUAAAGGUUCUGGCUCAACCAGAGACAAGCCGUGAAAACUGAUAGACUAGAGUAUGGUAGGGGCAGAGGGAAUUCCCAGUGUAGCGGUGAAAUGCGUAGAGAUUGGGAAGAACACCGGUGGCGAAAGCGCUCUGCUA
rnacentral:rRNA from 1 species